rnacentral:misc_RNA from 1 species
ACAAAUCAAAUAUGGUGGGUGGUGGGUGAGAGGAUGUUUUAUUCUUUGAUGGUAUAGAUAGAGUGUUGAGUUCAAUACUCUAUUUCCUCCAUCUAGGGAUAACACACCAAUCAUUGCACACCUAACAUUUGUGCUCCAGGCAUUUCGUCUGGGUGCAAUUAUAUAUAUUCAUUAUUGUCAGUUGUUUGUCUAUUUUAAAUUUAUAAUC